rnacentral:rRNA from 1 species
AGUGAACGCUGGCGGCAGGCCUAACACAUGCAAGUCGAACGGCCACACAGUAAGCUCUUGCUCUUACCGGUGGCGACUGGCGGAUGGGUGACGCGUACAUCAGCUACUACUUUUACGUGGGGGACAACGUAGGGCCACUUACGCUAAUACAUCACAUGUCCAACCGGAGAAAGCUGGGGAUCUUCGUACCUUUCCCGACACAAUGAGCCGAUGUCGCAUUAGCUAGUUGGCUAGGUAACGGCACACCAAGGCAACGAUCCGUAGCUGAUCUGAGAGGAUGAUCGGCCACACUGGAACUGAGACACGGUCCAGACUCCUACGGGAGGCAGCAGUAGGGAAUAUUGGGCAAUGGGCGCAAGCCUGACGCAGCCAUACCGCGUGAGUGAAGAAGGUCUUCGGGUCGUAAAGCCCUUUUGUUAGGGAAGAACAGCAGCAGAUUAAAACGUCGCUGUUCUGACGGUACCCAAAGAAAAAGCACCGGCUAACUACGUG